UACGAAGGGAGCUAGCGUUAUUCGGAAUUAUUGGGCGUAAAGCGUGCGUAGGCGGUUUUAUAAGUCAGAAGUGAAAGCCUGGGGCUCAACCUCAGAACUGCUUUUGAUACUGUAAAACUAGAGUGUGUGAGGGGAUGGCGGAAUUCCUAGUGUAGAAGUGAAAUUCGUAGAUAUUAGGAGGAACACCGGUGGCGAAGGCGGCCAUCUGGCACACAACUGACGCUGUUGCACGGAAAGCGUGGGGAGCAAACAGGG
rnacentral:rRNA from 1 species